rnacentral:rRNA from 1 species
UACGGAGGGGGCUAGCGUUGUUCGGAAUUACUGGGCGUAAAGCGCACGUAGGCGGCUUUGUAAGUUAGAGGUGAAAGCCUGGGGCUCAACUCCAGAAUUGCCUUUAAGACUGCAUCGCUUGAAUCGCGGAGAGGUGAGUGGAAUUCCGAGUGUAGAGGUGAAAUGCGCAGAUAUCAGGAAGAACACCCGUGGCUAAGGCGGCUCUCUAGUACGGUACUGACGCUGAGACGCGAAAGCGUGGGGAGCGAACAGG